rnacentral:rRNA from 1 species
ACACUCCUACGGGAGGCAGCAGUGGGGAAUUUUAGACAAUGGGCGAAAGCCUGAUCCAGCAAUGCCGCGUGAGUGAAGAAGGCCUUCGGGCUGUAAAGCUCUUUUGUCAGGGAAGAAACGGUGAAAGCUAAUAUCUUUUGCUAAUGACGGUACCUGAAGAAUAAGCACCGGCUAACUACGUGCCAGCAGCCGCGGUAAUACGUAGGGUGCAAGCGUUAAUCGGAAUUACUGGGCGUAAAGCGUGCGCAGGCGGUUUUGUAAGUCUGAUGUGAAAUCCCCGGGCUCAACCUGGGAAUUGCAUUGGAGACUGCAAGGCUAGAAUCUGGCAGAGGGGGGUAGAAUUCCACGUGUAGCAGUGAAAUGCGUAGAUAUGUGGAGGAACACCGAUGGCGAAGGCAGCCCCCUGGGUCAAGAUUGACGCUCAUGCACGAAAGCGUGGGGAGCAAACAGGAUUAGAUACCCAUGUAGUCCCAU